rnacentral:rRNA from 1 species
UACGUAGGGGGCCAGCGUUGUUCGGAAUUACUGGGCGUAAAGCGCGCGUAGGCGGCUUUUCAAGUCAGGGGUGAAAUCCUGGGGCUUAACCCCAGAAUUGCCCUUGAAACUGUAAAGCUUGAGUGUCGGAGGGGAUAGCGGAAUUCCUAAUGUAGAGGUGAAAUUCGUAGAUAUUAGGAGGAACACCGGUGGCGAAGGCGGCUAUCUGGACGACAACUGACGCUGAGGCGCGAAAGCGUGGGGAUCAAACAGG